AGUGUUAAGAGUGAAGAUUACUUUAUUUAGAGUUAUGCUCACUCGCAACAAUAAGUAGCCAACACAGUCUCACUCCCACUGCGCAUUCAAAGAAGAAGAAGAAGAAGUGUGCAUGCGCAGUAGCAACAUUCAGUCUCUCCCGCUCGCCAGUCCAGCACACAGGCCGGGACACUGAGGGCAGCCUGCUGACUCGACUUUUGCGCCGUCUUGUUUAUUCUUUUGAAAAAUAAUAAGGUAAGUUAUCAAGCAAGUGUUUCUGUUAAUAUGUUUUAAUUACUGCUACGACUGUUAGCGUUCGCUAGCUAGCGCUAGCGCUAGCGUUAGCGUUCGCUAGCUAGCGUUAGCCCUAAACCCUAAUUUUUAAAUCAUGACCUCUACCUCUGAUAUUUAAAAAGAAAUCUUAAGACAUCAUUUUAGCCUGAAUUUUAAGCAAGGUGCCUCCAUUAUUAGUUGAUUUUGCCUAAUGCUAUCUUAAUUUUUGUGCCCUUGCUCACCUGUGGUUUUUGUUUUUGUUGCAGUGUCUUUCUAUCACGUGCAGCACAUUGGGUGUAGACAUGUGCUAUAUAAAUUAAGAUUGAUUAAUUACAUGAAUACCUUUGAGGUCUAAUAAAAUUAAAAUGUUACAUUUUCAUAUUUUUCCAUCCGCUCCCAUUCUAAGCUGCUGUGCCAAUGUGAGGACAGAGAACUACUGCAUAAUAGGAGCAAUAAAAAAAAAAAUCUGAUAAUUUUUUUGACCAAAAUUAUUAGGAAACUAUAGCCCAAGGUUGGAUUUGCCUGAACUUGUACUUUAUUAUUAAAAACAGGUUCCUGUAAUACCUGUGUUAAGCAUGCACAUAUUAAGGAACGUGUCAGUAAUCUACAAACCACGACAUCACUGGAACUUCCUUGUAACUACAAUAUUUUUCUCUUUCAGAACAAGUGCUCAGAGCUACUGAAGAGCUGCUUUGACAACGUGGGCCCAGUGCACUGGAGGAAGCUGUUUCCCCGUGGAGCUCCAGCAGUGCUUAGAGGGCUAAAAAACCUUCACCUGACAUCUUAUCAGCAAGGGGAAACCAGAUGUGACAGCGGUACGCACCGUUGUACUCCGAGGCCUCCCUGUUCUACUUGGUUAUGACCCCAGUGACUUCUACAACACCUGCUUCGAUUGUGACACUGAUGAGACCUGGGUAAAAGUAUCUGUCGGGGUGCUGACUGUUCUCCCUGAAGAUCUGCAACUCCUUCCAAAUCAGCUCCACCUUCAACCAAUGUCUACUGCCAUCAUUGUUGAGGGAGGUAUUGUAAUGGAUGAACUCCAGAACCUACCUGAGGCACUUUGACUUUUGUUUGGAAUGUCAUACGCUUUGCAUUUAGACUACCCUAAAGCCAUGAAAAACACUUUCUGCUUCAUUCAAAGAGUGAUGCUUGGCUUGGGAGAGGACAAACUCCCACCAAAAUUACAAAGUCUUAAAAAUCUCUUGUUGAGUUAGAAUGCAAAUGUAGAGUGGAUUCAGUUGUUUUUUAUUGUUCACUAAAUUAACACACUCCACUCAAAUUGUCAGCCCAUGGGUUCAUCAGCAAGUAUAGAGGCUGUACAUGUAUGUAUAUUCAUUCACAUAUAUGUGAGAUCCAUUGCCAGUUAUUACCCUGUCAGGUUUUUGCGCUCAUUGAGUAAAGCCACUUUGCACUUUUUUUAAAUUUUUUAUAUAUAUGUAGUUUUUAUUUAGUGAUUUUUGAGUAACAUUAUUCAGGAAUACAAAAGUGCACUUGUCAGCUUGUGGGUUAUUUCCCAUUGGUGGGAAAGAACUGUUAGUUGUUACAGUUUUAAGGCUGUGUUUACUGUAUUAUUGAUCUUGAUAUUGAUAUUGAGCUGUGUUUGUGGAUGUCCUUCAAGGCAAUCUUUAAGAAAAAAAGUUGAUAUAAAUGGAAGAAAAAUUAAAAACAAUUGAU